rnacentral:tRNA from 2 species
GGUCCGCUGGCUCAAUGGCAGAGCGUCUGACUACGAAGGUGUAAUCAGGAGGUUCCAGGUUCGACCCCUGGGUGGAUCG